GCCGAAGUGGUGGAAGUGGUAGACACGCCAUCUUGAGGGGGUGGUGGGCGAGAGCCCGUGCGAGUUCGAAUCUCGCCUUCGGCACCA
rnacentral:tRNA from 1 species